rnacentral:rRNA from 1 species
UACGUAGGGUGCGGGCGUUAAUCGGAAUUACUGGGCGUAAAGCGUGCGCAGGCGGCCUCUUAAGUCAGAUGUGAAAUCCCCGGGCUUAACCUGGGAACUGCGUUUGAAACUGGGAGGCUAGAGUGUGGAAGAGGGGGGUGGAAUUCCAGGUGUAGCAGUGAAAUGCGUAGAGAUCUGGAGGAACACCGAUGGCGAAGGCAGCUCGCUGGAACGGUACUGACGCUGAGGCGCGAAAGCGUGGGGAGCAAACAGG